AUCGAGCUGACAAGUCCCAAGUAGGGCGAAAUGCGCAUCCUGGAU
rnacentral:hammerhead_ribozyme from 1 species